UGCCAGCCGCCGCGGUAAUACGGAGGUUGCAAGCGUUGUUCGGAAUUACUGGGCGUAAAGGGGGCGCAGGCGGUUCGAUUAGUCUGGAGUGAAAGCCCGGGGCUCAACCCCGGAAGGCCUUUGGAUACUGUCGAACUAGAGUACGGGAGAGGAGAGCGGAAUUCCUGGUGUAGCGGUGAAAUGCGUAGAUAUCAGGAGGAACACCUAUGGCGAAAGCAGCUCUCUGGCCCGAUACUGACGCUGAGGCCCGAAAGCGUGGGGAGCGAACAGGAUUAGAUA
rnacentral:rRNA from 1 species